GCCAGUWGUSAUAUGCUUGUCUHAAAAAUUAAGCCAUGCAAGUCUCAGUAUAAAUGACUUUAUACAAUGAAACUGCAGAAGGCUCAUUAAAUCAGUUGUCGUGUUCGCGAUGGACAAAAUUACUAUAUGGAUAACUGUAGUAAUUCUAGAGCUAAUACAUGCCAUAAAGCUGUACACACUAAGUGCGUACAGCGGCCUUAUUAGUCUUACAAGCCAACCCGACUUGUCGGUGCUUUGGUGAUUCAUUAUAAUGAAUGCCCAACCACACAGCUUCGGCUGGUGGUACAUCGCAACAACUUCUGCCCUAUCAGCUUUGGAUGGUAGUGUAGUGGACUACCAUGGCUUUCACGGGUGACGGGGAAUUAGGGUUUGAUUCCGGAGAGGGAGCCUGAGAAACGGCUACCACUUCUAUGGAAGGCAGCAGGCGUGCAAAUUACCCAAUCCCAAAAUGGGGAGGUAGUGACAAGAAAUAACAGUGGUGGAUCCUUACGGGUUCGCCAAUUGGAAUGUGUUUGGUGUAAAAGACCUUUCGAGGAACAAUUGGAGGGCAAGUCUGGUGCCAGCAGCCGCGGUAAUACCAGCUCCAAUAGUGUAUACUAAUGUUGCUGCAGUUAAAAAGCUCGUAGUCGAUUUUGUGAAUUGUGAAACGCAGCCUGAUUUCUAAUCGAGAUCUGAUGUUGUAAGUUCGUAGUUCAUUUUUCUGGAAAGCGUUUCUGCCCUUGAUUGGGUUGGUUUCGUUAUUCAGGACUUUUACUGUGAGAAAAUGGGAGUGUUCAAAGCAGGCAAUUUGUCAUGCCUGAACCGUUUAGCAUGGAAUAAUGCAAUAUAACUUCUGUUACGCUUUGUUGGCUUAUGUGACGGAAGUAAUGAUCGAAAGAGAUAGUUGGGGGUGCUCAUACUCGAUGGGUAGCAGUGAAAUGCGUUGAUCCUUUGAAGAUGAACUAAUGCGAAAGCAUUCACCAAGGAUAUUUUCUUUGAUCAAGAACGAAAGUUGGGGGAUCGAAGACGAUCAGAUACCGUCGUAGUCUCAACCAUAAACGAUACCAACUAGGGAUUGGUAGAUGUUGGUUUUUCAUGACUCUAUCAGCACCUUUGAGAAAUUAAAGUCUUUGGGUUCUGGGGGGAGUAUGGUCGCAAGUCUGAAACUUAAAGGAAUUGACGGAAGGGCACCACCAGGAGUGGAGCCUGCGGCUUAAUUUGACUCAACACGGGGAAACUUACCAGGUCCAGACAUAGUAAGGAUUGACAGAUUGAAGCUCUUUCUUGAUUCUAUGGUUAGUGGUGCAUGGCCGUUCUUAGUUGGUGGACUGAUUUGUCUGGUUAAUUCCGAUAACGAGCGAGACCUCUGCGUGCUAAUUAGCUACGGGAAUCUUCGGAUUUCUUUAGUAGCUUCUUAGAGGGACUGUCGGUGUGUAGCCGAAGGAAGUUUGAGGCAAUAACAGGUCUGUGAUGCCCUUAGAUGUUCUGGGCCGCACGCGUGCUACAAUGGUGCAUUCAAUGAGAAAUUUUUCCUUAGCUGAAAAGCUUGGGUAAUCUUUGGAAACUGCAUCAUGCUUGGGCUUGAUCAUUGAAAUUAUUGAUCACUAACAAGGAAUUCCUUGUAGAUGCAAGUCAUCAACUUGCUUUGAAUACGUCCCUGCCCUUUGUACACACCGCCCGUCGCUUCUACCGAUGAAUGUUCCGGUGAACAUUAUGGAUUUGUUCUCGAUGGUGAAAUACCCAUCUGAGUAAUGAAGAAGUUCUGUAAACCUUAUCAUUUAGAGGAAGAAGAAGUCGUAACAAGGUUUUCGUAGGUGAACCUGCRGAHGGAUC
rnacentral:rRNA from 1 species